CGCAUAGUAGGCAUGUCGCAAGAGGGGUAAUCUUUACACAUCCCAUGUACUGAAUAUGAAAGGGAUAAAGAGUUGGCUUACAACCGCCACUUCACACAAUACAUAAAUAUAGCAUUACAUCAUCCAGAAUACAAUCAAGGUCCGACUACGGAACCAAAUAAAUAAAGACAACCCCAAAUGCAUAGAUCCCCGAUCGUCCCGACUGGGCUCCACUACUGAUCAACUAGAAACGAAACAACACAACAAACACAAUCUUCAUCGAGCUCCCACUUGAGCUCAGUUGCGUCAUCUGCAAUGGUAUCAUCGUCACCUGCAACUGUUUGGAAGUAUCUGUGAGUCACGAGGACUCAGCAAUCUCACACCCGCGAAAUCAAGACUAUUUAAACUUAUGGGUAGGAAAAGGUAGUCAGGUGGAGCUGCAGCAAGCACUAGCAUAUAUGGUGGCUAACUUACGCAACUGAGAGCGAGAAGAGAAGCAAAGCAUAUGCGAGAAGCUAUAAGAUCAAGAAGUGAUCCUGAAACUACUUACAUUCAAGCAUAACACAAGAACCAUGUUCACUUCCCGGACUCCGCCGAAAAGAGACCAUCAUGGCUACACACGCGGUUGAUGCAUUUUAAUUAAGUUAAGUGUUAGGUUUUCUACAACCGGAUAUUAACAAAUUCUCAUCUACCCAUAACCGCGGGCACGGCUUCCGAAAGUUCAAACCAUGCAGGGGUGUCCCAACUUAGCCCAUCACAAGCUCUCACGGUCAACUAAGGAUAUUCCUUCUCCCAGGAAGACCCGAUCAGACUCGAAAUCCCGGUUACAAGACAUUUCAACAAUGGUAAAACAAGACCAGCAAAGCCGCCCGAAUGUGCCGACAAAUCCCGAUAGGAGCUGCACAUAUCUCGUUCUCGGGGCACAUCGGAUGAGCAAUCCGUACAACUAAAACCAACCCUCAAGUUUCCCCGAGGUGGCGCUGUAAGGGGCUCUAGUUUGGACCAACACUCAGAGGAGCACUGGCCCCGGGGGUUAAAAUAAAGAUGACCCUCGGGCUCCAGAAACCCAAGGGAAAAAGGCUAGGUUGUUAGGCAAAUGUAAAACCAAGGUUGGGCCUUGCUAGAGGAGUUUUAUUCAAGGCGAACUGUCAAGGGGUUCCCAUUACAACCCAACCACGUUAGGAACACAAAAUAAAGGAACAUAACACCGGUAUGACAGAAACUAGGGCGGCAAGAGUGGAACAAAACACCAGGCAUAAGGCCAAGCCUUCCAUCCUUUACCAAGUAUAUAGGUGCAUUAAUUAAAUAAGAGAUAUUGUGAUAUCCCAACAUAUCCAUGUUCCAACAUGGAACAAACUUCAUCUUCACCUGCAACUAGCAACGCUAUAAAAGGGGAGGGGCUGAGCAAAGUGGUAACAUAGCCAAACAACGGUUUGCUAUGAAAAGGUGGGUUAGAGGCUUGACAUGGCAAUAUGAGAGGCAUGAUAAAGCAAGUGAUAGGUAUCGCGGCAUAGCAAUAGAGCGAGAAACUAAGCAAGCAAAGAUAGAAGUGAUUUUGAGGGUAUGAUCAUCUUGCCUGAGAUCACGCAAGGAAGAAGAACGAGUCCAUGAAGAAGACAAACAGACGUAGUCGAACGGAUCCUCACAAACGCGACGUUAUCGGAACUAACCCGAAGAAGCAACACCGGAAAGAAGCAAACAACAUAGUAAACAACCAUCACAUAAGCAUGGCAUGAUGCACAAUCAAGUAUGAUGCAUGUCCGGUUUAAUGAGGCAUGGCAUGGCAAAGUGCACAAACAAUACUACGAAUUAAGUGGAGCACAAUAUGCAACGAGUUGCAUAUUGACAGAACACCACAUGACUUAUUUAGUUCUCUCUCGUUUAGGUACCCAACAAUAUUAAAAGUUGUUAAACAUGGUAAGAUAUGAAGCAUAAUAAAACUAACUAACUAGGCAAGUUUAAAUGAGGCCGGAAACAACAAGCAACAAGUCCGGAAAAAUUCUCAUGAGCAUAUAUUAGAUUUGGUACUGUUCUGGCCUAAAGCAUAUUUUAGAGUUGUUAAACAUGGAAAGUAAAGCCACCAUGUUAAACUAGGUAUUUUUCUACCCCAUUUACAUAUAAAGUUUGUUAAAUUUGGACCUACGGUUAAUUAGUUAUGAAUCAAAUCAUUUUAGCAUGGCAAUUGGCAAAAUAAAGCAAAUAACAAGUUUAAACAUUUUUAACAUGCAUGAAAGUUGCAUAUUAUGAAACUAGGCAAAAUUCUAAGCAAGUUACAUAUAUAAAACAUUUUAAUAUGAUGCAUGGUUGAUGAGUUUUUAUAUGCAUGAAGUGCAAGGGUUUUUCUGCAAAUCUGUAAAUCCCUGGUAAUUAGCAAAUUCGCAGAACAACAAAAAACAUUCACUGGGCUGAAACUUGCUGGCCCAACAGGAACAGGGGAUCUGGAGGGGUCUGCUCACAUCGGGCCUAGCAGGCCGAAACUAAAGCUGGGCCAGAGAGGAGGCGCACUGGCCCGACGGGGAAACAUCACGGGCCGACCGGAUCUGACCGAUGCGGUCAACGCGGUUGCUGCAGCGCUCAUCGUCUCGUUCCUGAAGCGGGGAAUGAGCGAUGCAGGGGAGCUGGCGCGGUCAACGCCGAAGAAACAGGAGCCUUGGCGCGGCCGCGACGCAGAGGACGCAGCGGCGGCCUAGCGUUUCUUAGGACUCCGGCGAAAAACGGCGCGACGGGGAGGUCGAAGGCACUGGUGAGCUCGGGGAGGAUCCAGGCGCGAAAGGUCUUCGGGUCCCAUUUCCUGCCGGAUCGAAGCGGAGGCAGCGGCAUGGCGGACAUGGCGCCAACGCGGGCGAAGGUGAGGAGCUCCCAAGCGACGAAGAGGAUGCAGGGUGCCAUGAGGACGGGCGCGGGGACCUUGGGACCUGGCGUCCAUGGCAGAGGCAGCGGCGCUGGAGGGUCCUGGUGGCCGGAUCCGCGACGCGGCGGGGCAGACGGGGUCCUGGAGGCGUUCAGGCAUCCAUGGCAACCUGUGAGACACAGAGAGAAAGAGAGAGAUGUGAGAGGAGGGAGCAGCAGGGAGAGAUGGAGGGAAGGAGAGCAGCGGCAGGGCUCAUCUGCUCGAGCAAGGUGGUGCGCAAGGGGCUCGGUUGUUGGAGAAUCGAAGUGAAGCAGAGGGGGCCGGUGGUUGGUGGGGAGAGAUCGAGAGGAAUUUUGGAUCUAGGACACUCACAUUGAUUGGAUGGGGAUGGAUCCCGAGGUGGGAGAGGUAGUUGGCCCGAUGGGGAUAACAAGGAAGGAGGCUGGUUGGGUGGCUCGAUCGAGAGGAUCAGGCAAGAACCAGGAAGAGUGGGUGGCAGCGGCGGGGAGGAUUUGAUGGAUGGAUGGGACAGGGCUAGGGUUAGACUAUAUAUAUAUCCGAUGAAAUUAGG
rnacentral:lncRNA from 1 species